rnacentral:lncRNA from 1 species
GCGGGCGCGCAGGGCCGCGCUCCGCCACCCGCUCGCGGGUGGGGACAGCCGGGGACUGCCAGGCACUCCCGGUGCCCUGGCUGACACCUUUCCGGUGUCGCCUUCGUGACAGGAGCCGUCCUGUCCAGGUUUCUACUGGUGGAAAAUGGUGGCUCGCAAACUGACUUCGGACCCGCUUAUUCGGAUCCGUGUAUGAAAUUCUCCGUCCAGAAGAGUGCAGUAUAUCCAAGCAGGGACAUUGGCUCAGGUGGCUCGAGGCUCACAUUAAGGGUCACAGGCUGUGUUGGCUGUGAUGCCCACAGGCAUUGAAUGCCCACGUCUGAGCAAGUUCAGGAGCACCUCAGAGACGUCAUCUCACAAGGUGUACCGGGCAAGCCCGCCCUCAGCCUCCAUAACAGCCCACGCAGCCCUGUGUGCCUGGGGAGAAGCAGGGAGAAGCCCACAAGGACAGCAGCACUGGUACAGGAAGCUGACCCUUCCCCUGAUUUCAGCCGCUGCCGAGCUUAUAUUGCGCUGCUGAAAAAAAUGUUUUGUACCCAGAGGUAUUCACAGGGUGGAAGAAAUGAUAUAAGAAGAAAGUUAGGGGACUCACAUUGGUCUGAAACUUCUCAUUUACUAACGAGGGAUACUGAACGUGCCGGUAAGCACAUUUUCUUAAUAUCUGGCAUUCUGUUGUUCCCCUCUCCCAUUAGUGUUUUUUGCCCUGUCCUCUGCAGGGAGGGCUGUAAGAUGGUACAGCUGCUCUGGAAAGUAGGCUGGCAGUUCCUCAAGCGGAGAAAUAUAGUCACCCUGUGGUCCAACAACUGUACCCCUUGGUACAUGCCCAGGGGGACAAAAUGUGCAUGCUCAGAAGUCUGCCUACAAACGUUCAGAGCACACGCCUCCCACAGCCCAGAGGCGGCAACAUCAUGGACAGACAAACGCGGUCUCUCCCUGCAAGGAGGGUUAUUCAGAAAUAAAGUAUUGUGGUCCUGACGUGUACCCCAGCAUCAGUGAGCCCUGAAAGCACCAUUCCAGACUAGAGGUGCCACUCACAGAAGCCCAUGUGUGCUGACCCUGUUGGAGACACACCUGGAAAGGCAAUGCACAAGGUCAGAGCGUGGUUAGCAGCUGCUUCGGGCCGGGAAAUGGCAGGCGGGGGCCCUGCCAAGGAAGAAGAUUCUCUCUGGAGUGACGAAAGUGUCCCGAAUUGAUGAUGUCAGGGGCUGCAUGGCUC